CUCGUAGGCGGCCAACUAAGUCAGACGUGAAAUCCCUCGGCUUAACCGGGGAACGGCGUCUGAUACUGGAUGGCUUGAGUUCGGGAGAGGGAUGCGGAAUUCCAGGUGUAGCGGUGAAAUGCGUAGAUAUCUGGAGGAACACCGGUGGCGAAGGCGGCAUCCUGGACCGACACUGACGCUGAGGAGCGAAAGCCAGGGGAGCAAACGGGAUUAGAUACCCCGGUAGUCCUGGCCCUAAACGAUGAAUGCUUGGUGUGGCGGGUAUCGAUCCCUGCCGUGCCGAAGCUAACGCAUUAAGCAUUCCGCCUGGGGAGUACGGUCGCAAGGCUGAA
rnacentral:rRNA from 1 species